GACGAAUGCUGGCGGCGUGCCUAAUACACGUAAGUUGGGCGAUGAAGCUCGGUGCUUGCACCAAUUUGAAGAGCAGCGAACGGGUGAGUAACGAGUGGGGAAUCUGCCUUUGAGCGGGGGACAACAUCUGGCAACGCAUGCUAAUCCCGAAUAACAACUUUAAACUUACGCUUUACGUUUGAAAGAUGCACUUGCAUCACUCAAAGAUGAUCCCGCGUUGUAUUAGCUAGUUGGGGAGGUCAAGGCUCACCAAGGCGAUGAUACAUAGCCGACCUGAGAGGGUGAUCGGCCACAUUGGGACUGAGACACGACCCAGACGCCUACGGGAGGCAGCAGUAGGGAAUGUUCGGCAAAUGACGAAAGUCUGACCGGACAACGCCGCGUUAGAGAAGAAGGUUAUCGGGUCGUAAAACUCUGUUGGUAGAGAAAGGCAUUGGUGGGAGUAGAAAGCUCAUCAAGUGACGGUAACUACCCGGAAAGGGACGGCUAAGUACGAG
rnacentral:rRNA from 1 species